rnacentral:rRNA from 1 species
CCUACGUGAGGCAGCAGUGAGGAAUAUUGGUCAAUGGCCGGAAGGCUGAACCAGCCAUGCCGCGUGAAGGUCAGUGCCCUAUGGGCGUUAAACUUCUUUUGUGCGGGAGCAAUAAUGGUCACGUGUGGCCAGACGAGAGUACCGUACGAAUAAGCAUCGGCUAACUCCGUGCCAGCAGCCGCGGUAAUACGGGGGAUGCACGCGUUCUCCGGAUUUAUUGGGUUUAAAGGGUGCGUAGGCGGUGAGGUAAGUCAGCGGUGAAAUGCCCCCGCUCACGGGGGUGAAGUGCCAUUGAUACUGCCUUGCUGGAAUGCGGAUGCCGUGGGAGGAAUGUGUGGUGUAGCGGUGAAAUGCAUAGAUAUCACACAGAACACCGAUUGCGAAGGCAUCUCACGAAUCCGCGAUUGACGCGGAUGCACGAAAGCGUGGGUAUCAAACAGGAUUAGAUACCCCAGUAGUC